UAGCCGUAAACGAUACUCGCUAGGUGUCGGCCACGGUGCGACCGUUGUCGGUGCCGUAGGGAAGCCGUGAAGCGAGCCACCUGGGAAGUACGGCCGCAAGGCUGAAACUUAAAGGAAUUGGCGGGGGAGCACUACAACGGGUGGAGCCUGCGGUUUAAUUGGACUCAACGCCGGAAAACUCACCGGGGGCGACAGCAAUAUGUAGGCCAGGCUGAAGACCUUGCCUGAAUCGCUGAGAGGAGGUGCAUGGCGUAGACGU
rnacentral:rRNA from 1 species